UACGUAGGGGGCAAGCGUUGUCCGGAUUUACUGGGCGUAAAGAGCGUGUAGGCGGCCAAACAGGUCCGUUGUGAAAACUGGAGGCUCAACCUCCAGACGUCGACGGAAACCGUGUGGCUAGAGUCCGGAAGAGGAGAGUGGAAUUCCUGGUGUAGCGGUGAAAUGCGUAGAUAUCGAGAGGAACACCUGCGGCGAAGGCGGGUUGCUGGGCCGACACUGACGCUGAUGCGCGAAAGCCAGGGGAGCGAACGGG
rnacentral:rRNA from 1 species